rnacentral:rRNA from 1 species
AACAGGAUUAGAUACCCUGGUAGUCCACACAGUAAACGAUGAAUACUCGCUGUUUGCGAUAUACAGUAAGCGGCCAAGCGAAAGCGUUAAGUUUUCCACCUGGGGAGUACGCCGGCAACGGUGAAACUCAAAGGAAUUGACGGGGGCCCGCACAAGCGGAGGAACAUGUGGUUUAAUUCGAUGAUACGCGAGGAACCUUACCCGGGCUUGAAUUGCAACUGAAUGAUGUGGAGACAUGUCAGCCGCAAGGCAGUUGUGAAGGUGCUGCAUGGUUGUCGUCAGCUCGUGCCGUGAGGUGUCGGCUUAAGUGCCAUAACGAGCGCAACCCUUAUCGAUAGUUACCAUCAGGUUAUGCUGGGGACUCUGUCGAGACUGCCGUCGUAAGACGUGAGGAAGGUGGGGAUGACGUCAAAUCAGCACGGCCCUUACGUCCGGGGCUACACACGUGUUACAAUGGGGGGUACAGAAGGCAGCUACACGGCGACGUGAUGCUAAUCCCUAAAGCCUCUCUCAGUUCGGAUUGGAGUCUGCAACCCGACUCCAUGAAGCUGGAUUCGCUAGUAAUCGCGCAUCAGCCACGGCGCGGUGAAUACGUUCCCGGGCCUUGUACACACCGCCCGUCAAGCCAUGAAAGCCGGGGGUACCUGAAGUGCGUAACCGCAAGGAGCGCCCUAGGGUAAAACUGGUGAUUGGGGCUAAGUCGUAACAAGGUAACC